rnacentral:rRNA from 1 species
ACACAUGCAAGUCGAACGAUGAUCCGGUGCUUGCGCCGGGGAUUAGUGGCGAACGGGUGAGUAACACGUGAGUAACCUGCCCUUGACUCUGGGAUAAGCCUGGGAAACUGGGUCUAAUACCGGAUAUGACUCCUCAUCGCAUGGUGGGGGGUGGAAAGCUUUUGUGGUUUUGGAUGGACUCGCGGCCUAUCAGCUUGUUGGUGAGGUAAUGGCUCACCAAGGCGACGACGGGUAGCCGGCCUGAGAGGGUGACCGGCCACACUGGGACUGAGACACGGCCCAGACUCCUACGGGAGGCAGCAGUGGGGAAUAUUGCACAAUGGGCGAAAGCCUGAUGCAGCGACGCCGCGUGAGGGAUGACGGCCUUCGGGUUGUAAACCUCUUUCAGUAGGGAAGAAGCGAAAGUGACGGUACCUGCAGAAGAAGCGCCGGCUAA